AUUUUAAAACUUCCAAACACACAAGUGAGUCUACUCCCUCUGUUUUGGCCGUUAUAGGAGAGCGAGAAUGGGUUUUCGUCUCAUCCAAUAUAUUGCGCGACUGCCACCAUUGAGAUUAGUUUGCCCAUUUCAAUAUAAUAGAGGUGACUGGUGAGGUUGUAAUGGGGCUCUCAAUUCUUGAUUCAGCAAUGAAUCCUCAAGCCAUUGGAACUUGCAGAGACUACUCAGUCUCUCUUGCUUACUCCUACACCUUCCCCAAUUCAGUCCCAACUUCAAAUUUCAAAUCCCAUUUCAUUCCUCACAAUCUAACGUUUCGAAAAUCAAAAACCACUUUCUCUGCGACAAGGCCGCCUCGAAGUCUUGUAAUUUGCUCUGCCGAGAGAACUUCUCCGGCCAAGGCUUUGCGCCUGAUUCUUGGAUCGCCUGGUAUCCACCAGGGCCCUGCUUGUUUUGAUGCUCUUAGUGCAAAGCUCAUGGAGAGAACAGGCUUUGAUUAUUGCUUCACUACUGGUACAUGUUUUCUUUUUGUUUAUUUUAUUUGUGAAUUUUUUUUUUUGUUGAUAGAAGGGUUCCUCUUUUGGACUGUAAUAAGGGUUUUCCUUGUAUUGGGAUUA
rnacentral:misc_RNA from 1 species